rnacentral:rRNA from 1 species
GUGACUGCGUACCUUUUGUAUAAUGGGUCAGCGACUUAUAUUCUGUAGCAAGGUUAACCGAAUAGGGGAGCCGAAGGGAAACCGAGUCUUAACUGGGCGUUAAGUUGCAGGGUAUAGACCCGAAACCCGGUGAUCUAGCCAUGGGCAGGUUGAAGGUUGGGUAACACUAACUGGAGGACCGAACCGACUAAUGUUGAAAAAUUAGCGGAUGACUUGUGGCUGGGGGUGAAAGGCCAAUCAAACCGGGAGAUAGCUGGUUCUCCCCGAAAGCUAUUUAGGUAGCGCCUCGUGAAUUCAUCUCCGGGGGUAGAGCACUGUUUCGGCAAGGGGGUCAUCCCGACUUACCAACCCGAUGCAAACUGCGAAUACCGGAGAAUGUUAUCACGGGAGACACACGGCGGGUGCUAACGUCCGUCGUGAAGAGGGAAACAACCCAGACCGCCAGCUAAGGUCCCAAAGUCAUGGUUAAGUGGGAAACGAUGUGGGAAGGCCCAGACAGCCAGGAUGUUGGCUUAGAAGCAGCCAUCAUUUAAAGAAAGCGUAAUAGCUCACUGGUCGAGUCGGCCUGCGCGGAAGAUGUAACGGGGCUAAACCAUGCACCGAAGCUGCGGCAGCGACACUAUGUGUUGUUGGGUAGGGGAGCGUUCUGUAAGCCUGUGAAGGUGUACUGUGAGGUAUGCUGGAGGUAUCAGAAGUGCGAAUGCUGACAUAAGUAACGAUAAAGCGGGUGAAAAGCCCGCUCGCCGGAAGACCAAGGGUUCCUGUCCAACGUUAAUCGGGGCAGGGUGAGUCGACCCCUAAGGCGAGGCCGAAAGGCGUAGUCGAUGGGAAACAGGUUAAUAUUCCUGUACUUGGUGUUACUGCGAAGGGGGGACGGAGAAGGCUAUGUUGGCCGGGCGACGGUUGUCCCGGUUUAAGCGUGUAGGCUGGUUUUCCAGGCAAAUCCGGAAAAUCAAGGCUGAGGCGUGAUGACGAGGCACUACGGUGCUGAAGCAACAAAUGCCCUGCUUCCAGGAAAAGCCUCUAAGCAUCAGGUAACAUCAAAUCGUACCCCAAACCGACACAGGUGGUCAGGUAGAGAAUACCAAGGCGCUUGAGAGAACUCGGGUGAAGGAACUAGGCAAAAUGGUGCCGUAACUUCGGGAGAAGGCACGCUGAUAUGUAGGUGAAGCGACUUGCUCGUGGAGCUGAAAUCAGUCGAAGAUACCAGCUGGCUGCAACUGUUUAUUAAAAACACAGCACUGUGCAAACACGAAAGUGGACGUAUACGGUGUGACGCCUGCCCGGUGCCGGAAGGUUAAUUGAUGGGGUCAGCGCAAGCGAAGCUCUUGAUCGAAGCCCCGGUAAACGGCGGCCGUAACUAUAACGGUCCUAAGGUAGCGAAAUUCCUUGUCGGGUAAGUUCCGACCUGCACGAAUGGCGUAAUGAUGGCCAGGCUGUCUCCACCCGAGACUCAGUGAAAUUGAACUCGCUGUGAAGAUGCAGUGUACCCGCGGCAAGACGGAAAGACCCCGUGAACCUUUACUAUAGCUUGACACUGAACAUUGAGCCUUGAUGUGUAGGAUAGGUGGGAGGCUUUGAAGUGUGGACGCCAGUCUGCAUGGAGCCGACCUUGAAAUACCACCCUUUAAUGUUUGAUGUUCUAACGUUGGCCCCUGAUCGGGGUUGCGGACAGUGUCUGGUGGGUAGUUUGACUGGGGCGGUCUCCUCCUAAAGAGUAACGGAGGAGCACGAAGGUU